ensembl:lncRNA
GGGUAAAAGUAAGUGCUGUAAUUAGGCUGUUAGUGGUAAGGAGUGGGUGGAGGAGAGGUGAUCUAGAGUCUUAUGAGUAGGUCUUGGUCUUUAGUGAGCCUGCACCAUCAAAAUGUGAACUUUACACAUGCUUCUCAGUUGUUUGCCCCCCUUCAUUAGGAUGGCUAGAGUGGGAUGUCAUUGGGUAUGAACCUUCUUCCAUGCAGAAGGCUGGAGAGGGCAGGAGUUGGGUUUUCCCUUCCCGAGGUCAAUUAAGCUCUGAUUAACACCAGCUGGUUAGGCUCUAGCUAAAUAUUUCCACCUGAGGACAGACAUUUUUUAAGAAAAGCCGGGUGCUCUGAUGAAUUUCAAAAUGAUUCCUUUUCCUCUCCACCUGUCAGAAGCACAAGAGGAUCUUUCUCCAAUAUUCAUCGUGAGAACCUCAUCCAGCUCCUGGAGAAACCUCCAACACAUGAAACAAAGCUUUGAUUUGAAGAAAGGAGAGCGUUGAGGAUCGUGGUACCUAUAAAAAAUAAAAAUUUUCUAGAAAAUUAUAGUGAAAAUAUGGCCACAGUUUAAUCACAAUUCUCGAAUGUGCGUAGCUACACGCAGCCUACUUCUGCCUCAGCUCAUUCCUCUUCCUGCUCUCCUGACGUCAAUUUAUAAAACGGUUUCCCUUCUGGACCCUGAAGGAAAGCAAAACUUCAGGCUACUACAUCUCUGAGAAUGAUUCUAUCCUUAGCAGCUUCUGAUCCCUCAAGUGCUAUUUUUCUGAAUGGAUUUGUUUUUGUUCAGUGAUGUUUAGAGAACACAAACCAAACUGCAUGUGAAAUAUUGCCCACCUGCAGAAGCUCUCGAAGGGCACUAAACGAGGAAACCAUGCGAUACAAGAACGAUUGUUCCUGGGAUAGGACGAUGGGACCACACAAAGGCAACAUUCUCUAGGCAAUCCUGAAAUGGUUUUUGACAUAUUUCAAGGGGCAAACUGAACAGUUUAAAAAAGACCUGUUUAGUAACAGAAAAGAAAAAGACUGGUAGAGCUAUGCGUUGCUUUACUUAGAUUGGUCGCACAUGUGCCAACCAUAAAUACGAGCUUUUCCUACGUAUAAUGUCCUUCCUUUCUUCACUCCUUUCCUCUCUUCUUCCUCCUUUUCGUUUUUUAGUCCUGUCAAGAAUUUCCCAUGGCAAAUCUCUGCUCCUAAAAGCACGUGACAACCAAGUUCAUUGUGCUCUCUCUUUCCUAGAAAUCCUAUGGAAACUAUCUAGAUGUUUAAUUAUACAUUGCCUUACAGUGAUUUCACAUUAUUUAUUACCAUAAAUAUUUUCUCUAAAGUAUGUGAUAAGCAGAAAACUAUUUGCAUGUGCCAUUAAAGAAUAGAAAAAAAAUCAAUGCCCACAUUACUCAGCUUAAAUAUAAUCAUUACCACUAAUUUUGAAGCCCUUGUGUGAAAUAUCUCCAUCUUUUUUCCAGUUUUCUAUUGGAUUGUCAUCUUCUUAUUGAUUUGUACGAGUUAAUUUUAUAUUUCAAAUGGAAUCCUUCCUCAAGUGUGUGUUGCAAAAUCUUGUCUAAGUUUGUGGCUUAAAAAAAAAUCUCUUAUUUAAAAGAAAAUAUAGAAGACUAUUCUUCAUGAACUUAUAAUAAGGAAAGAUUGUUUUUAAACAAGAUACAAGAACACAAACCAUCAAAGAAAAGAUGGAACAUUUUUACUACAUUAAAAAUUAUAAUUUAUUUUAAUUAAAAAGUAAAGAGAAUAAAGAAAACAAAAUCAUACCACUGGCAAUAAUACUUGGAUAGACGUUUCUUCUCAUCAAUCUGAAGAUAUUAUUUCGUUCUCUCCUGGCUUCCUUUUUUGCUCUUGAGAAGUGAGCUACCUGGCUGAUUGUCAUUCCGUUGUCACUCAGCUGAUCCUCCUCUGUGCUGCUCUUAAGACCUUCUUGUUUUUCUCUUUUCAGUCUGCUACUUACCAUGGCAUGUCUAACUGUGGGUUUCUUCCUAUUAAUCCUGCUUGUGAUUCUUUGAGUUUCCUAAAUCUGAGGAAGAGUAUCUUACAGAAAAUCUAGGAUAUUAUUUACUGUUAUCUCAUUGAAUAUGGUCUUUUCCCUAAUCUUCCUAUGCUCAGAUACUUGAAAUAUGAUUAGGCAGAGUUUGGGCUUAUUCAGUCUAUCCUCCCUGUUUAUGUUUUUUUUAUUUCUUUGUCUUUUUGAGUAAUUUUCUAUAUAACUAUUUUCUAUUUCACUAAUUCUUUCUGCAGUGGUGUCUAAUUGUCUUUAUAUUGAAGUAUUAAUUGUUACAAUUUGAAAUUUUAAUGUUAGUAGUAUUUUUUAAAAUUUUCUUUUUAAUACUAAUGGUAUUCAUUUUUAAAAGUUUAAUUUCUGCUAUUUUUAAAAAAUAUAAGGAAUAUUUUAUUGAUCUAUUGAUCAUGAUAACUUCAGUGCACUUUGUUUCUUUACAUGUAAAUAUAUUUAUUCGUUAUACUUAUCUGAUGAUUCCAUUUUCUGCAGUUUGGAAACCUGUUUCUUUGGUUUGACUUUUCUGCUGGAUUUAUGUGACUGUGUUUCUUGAUGGGUUUCAUUGUUUCAAAUAGGGGCUACUCUUUGGAAUUUCAUCAAUAGGGAGAAUUUGGGAACUUUAUUUAAAAUGUUUUCUUCCAAAGCACAUUUACAUUUGUUUUCUCCAAAUUUCUGUGAGCAAACCAAUAUGGGGCUGCAUUAGAUUCAGUUUUUGUUUUCAUACUUUUAAGACAACAACUGGUAUGAUUUCAGGACACAAACGUGUGAUUUUGAGCUUACGGUUAGGGAAGUUUUUUUCCUUUUCUCUUUUAUUUUCCUGCUAGUCAGUUCCAGUUCUGGGCCAAAUCACGCAGGCGUGUUUUCAUAGGGUGAAUUGUUUAGUUUUGGUUUGUUUUCCUAAGUCUCCUACUGAGCAUGUUAUUCUUUAUGGAUAUUUGCUUUAUGUAGAGAAUUCUGAGUUGAUUUUUUCUUCUUAUGCCCAAUUUUUAUCCAUUUCCCUGGUAUGUGAUGCUUCCUUUAACCCCUCAUGUGUGGCCUCUGAAGAUUGACAGAUGACCUUCAGCUUGUCCCUGUUUAAUCAUACCCACUCCUCCUUCUGGCUUCUAUUUCCUUUACAAUACUGCUAGUGCAGGCAUGAUUUAGUAUACAUGUAUUAAAUAGUGCAGGAUUUUGUAUUCGGUCCCAGGAGUGGUUUCCCUUUUUCAGUUCUACCCCAUCUUAGUAUUUUUUUUCUCAGGGUAGGUAUAAAAUUCUUUAGGAUACAAAUAUUGCCAUAGUUUUCAUUGAAAUCUAGAGUAUAUCUUGAUCAAUGUUAUGUAUUUAGAAGAUGCUAAAUAAAGUUUAUAAAAUGGAUUAAUGUUAAUAUUUACUCAAUGGACUGGAAAUCUUGUAUACGAGUUGCACCCCUCACUCAUGCAUAUUGGAGAUGUGUAUCAAAUCAGUACAAUCUCUUUGUUGAGCACUUAUUAUCUAUAAGGCAUCAUGUCAGUUCUUGAGAUCACAAGAGGCAGCAACUGAAUUCAACUAGCUGAAGAUAUUUUAAGUUUGAUUACAAGUCCCUCAAAAGGAUGAAAGGAAAUACCUUAUUUAUUUUAAUAUUAAUUUUUUUCCAGUGUCUGCCAUAAUCCCUGACACGGAAAACACUUUUAAAA